CUGGUUUCCGCGCUAAGCACUCUGUGGAAACGGCACUGACCAAAGUAUCCAAUGAUCUACUCGCUGCAAAAUCUCAUGGUCACUACUCUAUCCUAAUUCUCCUUGACCUGUCUGCGGCUCUUGACACUGUUGAUCAUCAACAGCUUCUUCUCAUCCUCCGCAAUAUCGGUGUACAAGAUACUGCUCUCUCCUGGUGCUCCUCCUACCUCUCCCAGCGCUCUUUCAGUGUUUCUUUCUCUGGAUCGGCUUCUUCUCCCCAACUCCUCUCUGUUGGUGUCCCCCAAGGUUCAGUUCUUGGUUCCCUACUGUUCUCCAUCUAUACUGCCUCCCUUGGUAAACUCCUUAGCUCCUUUGGCUUCCAAUAUCAUUUCUAUGCAGAUGACACGCAAAUCUACCUGUCCUCUCCUGAUCUCUCCCCGUCCCUCUUGACUAGUGUCUCUGACUGCCUCUCUGCUGUUUCUAAUGGGAUGGCUGCCCACUUCCUUAA